UCAUUUCCUUCUGGAUACAUUGUUUAGAUUCCUCUUUUCAUUUCGUUACUUUUAUUUAAUUGUUUUUAUUAUUUGUUUACAUUUCAAAUGUUAUCCCCCUUCCUGGUCUCCUUUCCAGGCUCACCGAUCCCUUCCUCCUCCCCUUUGUCCCUAAUGGCAUAUAUCUACCUUGUCUGGAGGUUUUUUUCUUGGGAAACUCUUGAAAUGUCUCUAAGCAUAAAGGUAGGAUCUAGUAAGGAUAUGUUCUCAAUUGAAACACCAAUCCUCUGUUGAGGGACCGCAUCAAGAUGAACUAGCCAGUAGCCCCAGACCUUCCUGGGACUAAACAGCCAACCAAAGAAAACACAUGGUGGGACUCAUGGCUCUAGCUGCAUAUGUAGCAGAGGAUGGCCUUGUCGGAGGAGAGGCCCUUGGUCCUGUGAAGAUUCUCUGCACCAGUAUAGGGGAAUGCCAGGGCCAGGAAGCAGGAGUGGGUGAGUUGGUGAGCAGGGGGAUAGGGGCUUUCCGAAUGGGAAACCAGGAAAGGGAUAACAUUUGAAAUGUAAAUAAAGAAGACAUCUAGUAAAAAAGAUGCAUUUCCCUUUCAAAACAAAACAAAACAAACAAAUAAACAAAAGAAACAUUAACCCUAUUCCUAAAUUCUUUAAAAAUGAUCUAAUUCACAUAAAAAGAUUAAAUGGUAAUUUUAUUUAUUCCUAUUUUGUUUGUUUGUUUUCCUACUUGGUUACAUCUAUGUUCUCUUGUGGCUCUGCUGACAUCUCAGAAAUCUUGCCUCAAGUGACACAUUAAUGCAAUACAAAAUCCACAAGAGUAAGACAAAGAAAGAAACAAAGAAAGAAAGAGAGAGAGAGAAAAGAGGGAAGGAAGGGAGUGAGGGAGGAAGGGAGGAAGGAAGGAAGGAAGGAAGGAAGGAAGGAAGGAAGG
rnacentral:lncRNA from 1 species